UACGUAGGGUGCAAGCGUUGUUCGGAUUUACUGGGCGUAAAGGGUGUGUAGGCGGACGCUUAAGCCAGAGGUUAAAGACCGGAGCUCAACUCCGGGGUUGCUUCUGGAACUGGGUGUCUUGAGAGAGUCAGGGGCUAGUGGAAUUCCAGGUGUAGAGGUGAAAUUCGUAGAUAUCUGGAGGAACACCGGAGGCGAAAGCGGCUGGCUGGGACUUUUCUGACGCUGAGGCACGAAAGCGUGGGGAUCAAACAGG
rnacentral:rRNA from 1 species